rnacentral:rRNA from 1 species
AUUGAACGCUGGCGGCAGGCUUAACACAUGCAAGUCGAGCGGAGAUGAGGUGCUUGCACCUUAUCUUAGCGGCGGACGGGUGAGUAAUGCUUAGGAAUCUGCCUAUUAGUGGGGGACAACAUUCCGAAAGGAAUGCUAAUACCGCAUACGUCCUACGGGGGAAAGCAGGGGAUCUUCGGACCUUGCGCUAAUAGAUGAGCCUAAGUCGGAUUAGCUAGUUGGUGGGGUAAAGGCCUACCAAGGCGACGAUCUGUAGCGGGUCUGAGAGGAUGAUCCGCCACACUGGGACUGAGAGACGGCCCAGACUCCUACGGGAGGCAGCAGUGGGGAAUAUUGGACAAUGGGGGGAACCCUGAUCCAGCCAUGCCGCGUGUGUGAAGAAGGCCUUAUGGUUGUAAAGCACUUUAAGCGAGGAGGAGGCUACUGAGACUAAUACUCUUGGAUAGUGGACGUUACUCGCAGAAUAAGCACCGGCUAACUCUGUGCCAGCCGCCGCCGUAUAC